UUAGAGCAGACACUGGUUCCCAGGCAACACUUUGAGGACCAUUGUUCUAGUCUAGACCCUGACAUGACAGAGAUCAGACAUCACUUGGAUAAAAGACAGCAAGGCUGUACUGCUGAAACUCUGGGUUAAAGCUGCGGGAUUCCGUUGCUGUUCCCCAUUCCAGCAGAGGAUUGUAAUCUACUGACAGAAUUGACUGCAAGAUGCCAGUCACCCAAGGC